rnacentral:rRNA from 1 species
UUGGGUAGUAUCAGUUAUAUUCUAAAAACCUAAAGGAUUUGGCGGUAUUUUAUUCUGUUUAGAGAAACAUGUUUUUGUAUCGAUAAUCCACGAUUAUCUUACUUAUUUUUAUUAAUUUAUUUUGUAUAUCUCCGUCAUUGAUUUUUUUUUUAAAAUUUAUUUUCUUUGUAUUGUUAUUGUUAAUAAAAUGGAAUGUCAGGUCAAGGUGCAGAUUAUAAAUAAGUUAAAAUGUGUUAUAUUUAGGUUGAAGUUGAUUGGAUGAUUUUUUGAAAGUUUAAAGUUUUGAAAUUGGAUUUAAGAGUAAGGUUGAUUGAUUGAAUUGAUUUGAAUAGGUUUUAAAGUAUGUA